AGUGAACGCUGGCGGUAGGCCUAACACAUGCAAGUCGAACGGCAGCACAGUAAGAGCUUGCUCUUACGGGUGGCGAGUGGCGGACGGGUGAGGAAUACAUCGGAAUCUACUUUUUCGUGGGGGAUAACGUAGGGAAACUUACGCUAAUACCGCAUACGACCUACGGGUGAAAGCAGGGGAUCUUCGGACCUUGCGCGAUUGAAUGAGCCGAUGUCGUAUUAGCUAGUUGGCGGGGUAAAGGCCCACCAGGGCGACGAUCCGUAGCUGGUCUGAGAGGAUGAUCAGCCACACUGGAACUGAGACACGGUCCAGACUCCUACGGGAGGCAGCAGUGGGGAAUAUUGGACAAUGGGCGCAAGCCUGAUCCAGCCAUACCGCGUGGGUGAAGAAGGCCUUCGGGUUGUAAAGCCCUUUUGUUGGGAAAGAAAAGCAGCAGGUUAAUACCCCGCUGUUCUGACGGUACCCAAAGAAUAAGCACCGGCUAACUUCGUG
rnacentral:rRNA from 1 species